rnacentral:rRNA from 1 species
CGAUGGGAGCUUGCUCCCUGAGAUUAGCGGCGGACGGGUGAGUAACACGUGGGCAACCUGCCUAUAAGACUGGGAUAACUUCGGGAAACCGGAGCUAAUACCGGAUACGUUCUUUUCUCGCAUGAGAGAAGAUGGAAAGACGGUUCUGCUGUCACUUAUAGAUGGGCCCGCGGCGCAUUAGCUAGUUGGUGAGGUAAUGGCUCACCAAGGCGACGAUGCGUAGCCGACCUGAGAGGGUGAUCGGCCACACUGGGACUGAGACACGGCCCAGACUCCUACGGGAGGCAGCAGUAGGGAAUCUUCCGCAAUGGACGAAAGUCUGACGGAGCAACGCCGCGUGAACGAAGAAGGCCUUCGGGUCGUAAAGUUCUGUUGUUAGGGAAGAACAAGUACCAGAGUAACUGCUGGUACCUUGACGGUACCUAACCAGAAAGCCACGGCUAACUACGUGCCAGCAGCCGCGGUAAUACGUAGGUGGCAAGCGUUGUCCGGAAUUAUUGGGCGUAAAGCGCGCGCAGGUGGUUCCUUAAGUCUGAUGUGAAAGCCCACGGCUCAACCGUGGAGGGUCAUUGGAAACUGGGGAACUUGAGUGCAGAAGAGGAAAGUGGAAUUCCAAGUGUAGCGGUGAAAUGCGUAGAGAUUUGGAGGAACACCAGUGGCG